GCUCCACUUCAACCAUUUCAAACAUCUAUCAAUCAACAAUGGAAAACUGCAUAAUUUCGAGGGAUGUUAUGAUUGAGAUUCUAGCGAGGUUAUCAGUAAGGUCACUUAUG